GAUAACAUAGUGGCGACGGGUGAGUAACACGUGAGCAACCUGCCUCUGAGAGAGGGAUAGCUUCUGGAAACGGAUGGUAAUACCUCAUAACAUACGAAACCGCAUGAUUUUGUUAUCAAAGAUUUAUCACUCAGAGAUGGGCUCGCGUCUGGAUUAGGUAGUUGGUGAGGUAACGGCUCACCAAGCCGACGAUCAGUAGCCGGACUGAGAGGUUGAACGGCCACAUUGGGACUGAGACACGGCCCAGACUCCUACGGGAGGCAGCAGUGAGGGAUAUUGCACAAUGGAGGAAACUCUGAAUGCAGCGAUGCCGCGUGGAGGAAGAAGGUUUUCGGAUUGUAAACUCCUGUUUCGAGGGACGAUAAUGACGGUACCUCGGGAGGAAGCUCCGGCUAACUACGUGCCAGCCGCAGC
rnacentral:rRNA from 1 species